UACGUAGGGGGCAAGCGUUGUCCGGAAUCAUUGGGCGUAAAGCGCGUGUAGGCGGUCCGGUAAGUCCGCUGUGAAAGUCCAGGGCUCAACCCUGGGAUGCCGGUGGAUACUGUCGGGCUCGAGUCCGGAAGAGGAGUGUGGAAUUCCUGGUGUAGCGGUGAAAUGCGCAGAUAUCAGGAGGAACACCGGUGGCGAAGGCGGGUCUCUGGGCAAGCAACGUGACGCUGGAGGAGCGAAAGCGUGGGGAGC
rnacentral:rRNA from 1 species